rnacentral:sRNA from 1 species
UGACAAGCUGUAUUAGAUAUCUCUUUGUGUCACGUUUUGUCUGUAUAUCCCACCGAAAAAAAGCGUAUCUUUCGAUUUUCGUUAAGCAGUUAUGGCAGAUGCUCUGUCUAUUGAGCAGAAUAAUAAGAUCCGAAUCGCUCUUGGCCUGAAACCUCUUCCAGUCCCCGGCGCCACUGAUAACAACAACGAUGGGCCCGUUUUCAAGCCAUCAAGAGAUGGCAACGAUUCGGAUUCCUCGGGUGACGAACCAGCAAGCACGUUAGAAUCGCGGCAGGCACAGGGAUACGACAACUGGAAGAAAUACCAAGAUGAAGCUGAGGCGAAGAAGAAGCGCCAGGAGAAACUGGACGCUAUUAAGCGGGCCCGUGAAAAAGCUCAGAAACUGGUGAAGCUCGAAGGCAAGGGGCUUGGCGAGCUAGAUUCCGAGGAGGCUGCUUUGGAUACCAAAACUUGGCUGAAGCAGCAGAAGAAGCGGCAGCGGAAGGUCGAGAAGGAGCGCGCAAAGAGGCUCGCAGAGGAACUUGCCGAGAGGGAGCGGAUUGCGGAAUAUACUGCUAAGGAUCUGGCGGGCGUGAGGGUUGGGCAUGAGCUAGGUGAUUUCGAAGCAGGAGGGGAGCAGAUUCUUACGCUUAAGGAUACCACGAUCGAUGAAAAUGAGGAGGAAGGCGAUGAGUUGGAGAAUAUCGAUUUACGAGACCGGGAGCGGCUCAACGAGAGAUUGGCUUUGAAGAAAAAGAAGCCGGUGUAUGAUCCUAAUGAUUUCGAUGGAUCUGGUUCCGGUUCUAUUCUGGCGCAAUAUGACGAGGAGAUCGACGGGAAGAAGAGGAAACGGUUUACAUUGGAUGCUAAAGUUAUAAAUGAGGAAGAGCGGAUGGCCAAGCGGCAGGAUGUGUCGUCGAAGUUAAAAGCGCAACCUGUCAACCUCGAUAUCAUGCCCGAAACUACAGCGACGCCAUCAGACUACCAGGAAGCGACAGACAUUAAAAUCAAGAAACCGAAAAAGAAGAAAACGAAAUCUACGAGGCGAAAAGCGGUGGAUGAGGAUGAUAUCUUCCCAACUAUAGAAACUACAGAUAUUCCUAACGGUGGUACUGGUGUGCAAUCCAAUGGAGAUAAUAUGGAAGUGGAUUCAGUAGCUCCCAGUAAUGGACUUUCGACCCGCACCCCGAGACAAUCAGAUAGGGACGUAUCUUUCGUUGACGAUGAGGAUUUACAAGCAUCGCUAGCGGCGCAGAGACGAACUGCAUUCAAGAAAAGGAAGAAGGUUCGCCCGGAGGAUAUCGCAAGACAAUUGCGAGAAGAGUCGGAACAAGCGCAGAAUGGGAUGGAUUUGGACAAUGCGAAUGGUGAGGAUGACGGUCCUGGUCUGGUUAUCGAUGAGACAUCUGAAUUUGUCGCAAACCUGCAGCGCCCCACACUCCCUGAUCGUCGCCAGCGCUCAGUCUCACGGCCGAAAGAAGCAUCUCCUGAGGUGAAAGAAGAAAGGCACGAAGAUGUGGAUAUGGAUAUGGAGCGGUCGUAUAAUGAUAUUGAAGAUGAAGAGGAUCUCCAAGAACGCUUGAAGAGAAGCGAUACCACGCCAGCUGCUGAUAUUACCGCUACUGGAUUAGAAGAGGAAUCGACACUUGACAAGGGUCUCGGUGCUACACUCGCCAUGCUUAAGCAACGUGGACUGGUAAAGGAAUCAAAUGCGAGCGAGCUAAACACUCUCCACCGUGAGCGCCAACGAUUCCUACAAGAGAAGCAACGGCGCGAAGCGGAAGCAGAGCGACGCGCUCGACUCCAGCGAGAACGCGACCGUGCCUCGGGCAAGCUGGACCGCAUGACCGCUCGGGACCGGGAGGAGUACGCACGGCAGGAAAACAAGCAGCGCGACCAGCUAGAGUCGCGCCAGAUGGCCGAGAUCUUCAACCGCGAGUAUAAGCCGGACGUACAGCUGAAGUAUGUGGAUGAUUUUGGUCGGUUGAUGGACCAGAAAGAGGCAUUUAAGCACCUUUCGCACCAGUUCCAUGGCAAGGGAAGCGGGAAGAUGAAGACGGAAAAGCACCUGAAGAAGAUUGAAGAGGAGAAGAAGCGGGAGGCGAUGAGUACGUUGGAUAGUAGCCAGCAUACGGGAAUGAAUAAUGCGAUGGGGGCAACAGCGAGGAGGAAUCGGCAGGCUGGGGUUCGGCUUGGGUGAGGGGUGUUCCGGUAGGCCGAUCAUGCAUGUGUAUAUAGGUAUAUUAUUACCAUCGAGUCGUUAUUUAUUACGGCGUGAUUGUCUAAGAUUGCGUCUUUGCUUAAACAAAGAGGUUAGUUACAAUGAAAAACAUGAUGAAGCUGGAGAUUGGCAAUUCUGCUUGCCCGGCUAGAGUGAUAUUAUUCCCUUAUAUUUGCUCUUCACAAUUGAGAUCGAUGGUCAUGUUUGUCUUCUUCCUUUCUCCCUCUCACUGGCCACUGUUGCUACUUCUACCGUAUCUGAAGUCGCAAGCGGCCUACUUUGGAGGGCAUAUCUGAAUGUAACUGACUCCGGGCACCAGGGCAUGGAUGUGAAAAGAAACUCUUGUAAAGCUGGCU